rnacentral:rRNA from 1 species
UACGUAGGGUGCGAGCGUUGUCCGGAAUUAUUGGGCGUAAAGAGCUUGUAGGCGGUUUGUCGCGUCUGCUGUGAAAUUUCGGGGCUCAACCCCGAACUUGCAGUGGGUACGGGCAGACUAGAGUGUGGUAGGGGAGACUGGAAUUCCUGGUGUAGCGGUGAAAUGCGCAGAUAUCAGGAGGAACACCGAUGGCGAAGGCAGGUCUCUGGGCCACUACUGACGCUGAGAGACGAAAGCUAGGGGAGCAAAUGGG